GAAACGACUGCUAAGACUGGAUAGGAAGAUAAAAGGCAUCUUUUAUCUUUUAAAAGACCUAGUAAUAGGUAUGCUUUAGGAGGGGCUUGCGCCAUAUUAGUUAGUUGGUAGGGUAAUGGCCUACCAAGACGAUGAUGUGUAGCUGGACUGAGAGGUUGAACAGCCACAUUGGGACUGAGACACGGCCCAAACUCCUACGGGAGGCAGCAGUAGGGAAUUUUCGGCAAUGGAGGAAACUCUGACCGAGCAACGCCGCGUGAAUGACGAAGUACUUCGGUAUGUAAAGUUCUUUUAUCAAGGAAGAAAAGCAAAUGGCGAACCAUUUGUUUGCCGGUACUUGAUGAAUAAGCCCCGGCUAAUUAUGUCCCAGCAGCCGCGGUAAGACAUAAGGGGCAAGUGUUAUCCGGAAUUAUUGGGCGUAAAGGGUGCGUAGGCGGUCUAGUAAGUCAGUGGUGUAAUGGCAACGCUUAACGUUGUCCGGCUAUUGAAACUGCUAAACUUGAGUUAGAUAGAGGCGAGUGGAAUUCCAUGUGUAGCGGUAAAAUGCGUAAAUAUAUGGAGGAACACCAGAGGCGUAGGCGGCUCGCUGGGUCUUAACUGACGCUGAGGCACGAAAGCGUGGGGAGCAAACAGGAUUAGAUACCCUGGUAGUCCACGCCGUAAACGAUGAGUACUAAGUGUCGGGUUAAACCGGUACUGAAGUUAACACAUUAAGUACUCCGCCUGAGUAGUACGUACGCAAGUAUGAAACUUAAAGGAAUUGACGGGACUCCGCACAAGCGGUGGAUCAUGUUGUUUAAUUCGAAGAUACCCGAAAAACCUUACCAGGUCUUGACAUGUUUUUGCAAAAUGAUAGUAAUAUCGUGGAGGUUACCAGAAACACAGGUGGUGCAUGGUUGUCGUCAGCUCGUGUCGUGAGAUGUUAGGUUAAGUCCUAAAACGAGCGAAACCCUUAUCGUUAGUUGCCAGCACGUUAUGGUGGGGACUUUAACGAGACUGCCAAUGAUAAAUUGGAGGAAGGUGAAGAUCACGUCAAAUCAGCAUGCCCCUUAUGACCUGGGCUACAAACGUGAUACAAUGGCUGUUACAAAGGGUAGCUGAAACGCAAGUUCUUGGCCAAUCCCCAAAAACAGUCCCAGUCCGGAUUGAAGUCUGCAACUCGACUUCAUGAAGUUGGAAUCGCUAGUAAUCGCGAAUCAGCAUGUCGCGGUGAAUACGUUCUCGGGGUUUGUACACACCGCCCGUCAAACCACGAAAGUUGGCAAUACCCCAAAACG
rnacentral:rRNA from 3 species